CAAAACCUAAAAUAUCUACUAUCUGGUCCUUCACCAAAAAUGCACCGACUCCUGAUGCCUGGAGCCACAGGUGCUACAGGAGGGAGAACGCCUACCUUCUUUCUGCUUCAUAAAGUUAAAGCGAGGACGAAUUAAUUAGCUGGAGAAAUGAUUUGGAUAUAGAGGAAGAAUCAAAGACAACUGAAAAAAAGGAAAGAUUUUAAGGCCCAGACCAGACCCAAUUAUACGGGACCCCCGAGGCUUAAAGAUAUGGACAAAUGUUAAGUCUGACACCGGUAUGUCACAAAAGCUCACUAAACCUCAGCUCCUUCCCGACAGCCGGGAACGGGCAGAGACCUGACCACGGCGCCAGCCGGGAACGCGCAGAGACCGGACCAAGGCCCCAGCCGGGAACGCGCAGAGACCGGACCACGGCGCCACCCGGGAACGCCCACAGACCGGACCACGGCGCCACCCGGGAACGCCCACAGACCGGACCACGGCGCCAGCCGGGAAGGCCCAGAGACCGGACCAGGGUGCCAGCCGGAAACGCGCAGAGACCGGACCACGGCGCCAGCCGGGAAGGCCCAGAGACCGGACCAGGGUGCCAGCCGGAAACGCGCAGAGACCGGACCACGGCGCCAGCCGGGAACGCCCACAGACCGGACCACCGCGCAAGCCGGAAACGCCCAGAGACCGGACCACAGCGCCAGUGAAAAUAUUUUAGCAUAAUUUUCUUCUAUAGACUGCAAGCCCAAUGGAGUUGCUGAGAGCAUAGCGCAGGAUCCUCUCCUCCUGGUUGUACAGGACGAACACGCUGUCCACCGAGAGCUGCUGGGUGCUGGGCAGGGCUGGGCGGGAGUCAUCGUGGACGCAUUCCUGGAAGGUGAUUGUCUGGCGCCACUGGUAAGUGUAGACGCGGGAAGGAGCUGCCCCCUCUCGCUCCGGCUCCGUCACUGUGUACUCCCGGGUGGAGGAGGAAGUGAUCACUGCAGAGUGGGAAGGAGGGAGGGGACAAGGCAGGAAGACAAAGGGAAGAUGGUUAAGGAUGCAAGAAGCUGAAUCAAGGGCUUUGAAAGCACCAAUGGCAUUCCCUGCCCAUAAGGCUACCAGACGACAGAUCAGACAGAACAGCUUAAAUAAGACCAUUUGUUUGUACUCGGUCUGAGUCUAUGAAAUACCUGGAUUUCCCAAAUGAUCAUUGGCAUCAUUCAUAUUAUGUAUAUUUGUUGCUUUUCUCAUCAAUUGGUUCUCAGUAAGUUUUGAAAACUCCCAGAACUGGAGAUGAAGUUCAGGUGGAGAGGACACACACUUGGAAAGAGAUGCCCCUGAAUUCACACUUAGUACCACUCACAAGCUGUGUGGCCACUGGCUGGUGACUCAACAUC